UGUUGGUUGCCUUCUUCUUUUCUUCGUCCACUAUCACAAAGUUUGGAGAGGACAAGAAGCGAACACUCGAUCCUGAAUUCAAAGAAGGUGGACAAAGAAACUGGAAUAAGAAGCUCUGAAGAAGGUCUCCUUGUCUACAAAGUGAGCUAGGUUACUCAAUUCUUUAGCGGUAGCAGACGCUAGUCCCCAGAGUUUCUUGCUGGAAUAAAGUACUACUUACUCAAUUACACCAUAGAGGAGCUCCAGAAGAGAAC